rnacentral:lncRNA from 10 species
GCCGGCCGAGACUUCUGGAUGGCGGCGGCCGCGGCUCCGCCCCGGGUUCCCACCGCCUGAAGGGCGAGACAAGCCCGACCUGCUACAGGCACUCGUGGGGGUGUGGAAACAGGAAGAGAACUAGAACUGGAAGUAAAGCAUUGAAGAUGUGACUGAAUUGCUGCAAUCUCAUGAUCAAAUUUGAAUGGAUGAGGAGUUGCUUUUUAGGGAUGAGCAAAGAAAGUGGUUUCUCGAGAUGGAAUCUACUGGUUGCUCCUUGAGGGCAGGACAGUUCUUAUGGCUUUAUCCGUUGCGUAAGCACAGAGAGGUCUGCGAGGUCAAAACUAUUGUCAUGAUAGCAAGAUGCCUGUCUUUUUCAUUUAUUCUCACGGUGUGCAGAGGCUACAUGAUGUGUGAUGACAUCCUCAUUGAUGUUAAUGAAUGGUGCUAUACUUGAAUUUUCUAAGGUGUCAUUAGAUGAGGUCUUGCUGUGUUGCCCAGGCUAUUCACAGCUGCCAUCAUAGUGAACUACAGCCUGAAACUCCUGGGUUCAAGAGAUCCUUCUGCCUCAGCCUCCUGAGUAGCUGGAACUAUAGGCAUGCGCCACCAAGCCUGGGCUUUUAAAAAAAUUUUAAAAAGAAUUUUGAGACAGGAUCUUGCCAUGUUGCUCAGGCUAGUCUUCAACUCCUAGCCCUGAGUGAUCUUGCUUUGGGCCUCUCAAAAUGUUGAGUUAAUAGGCGUGAGCCACCAUACCCAGCCAAAAAUUUUUUUAGAGAUGGGAAUGGAAUGAUCUUGAAUAGUGUUGGUGCCACCUAUGUUGUGGCAUCAUUUUGAAACCAAUCAUUCAGAGUGCUUUUUUUGGUAAGGCAUUAUUUUUUAAUGCAGGUAUGCCACUACUGGGAAAAAAAAAAAAA